rnacentral:rRNA from 1 species
UACGUAGGGUGCGAGCGUUAAUCGGAAUUACUGGGCGUAAAGCGUGCGCAGGCGGUUCGCUGUUUCCGAUGUGAAAGCCCCGGGCUCAACCUGGGAAUGGCAUGGGAAACUGGCGGGCUGGAGUGUGGCAGAGGGGGGUGGAAUUCCGCGUGUAGCAGUGAAAUGCGUAGAGAUGCGGAGGAACACCGAUGGCGAAGGCAGCACCCUGGGCCAACACUGACGCUCAGGCACGAAAGCGUGGGGAGCAAACAGG